rnacentral:rRNA from 1 species
ACGAACGCUGGCGGCGUGGUUCAGGCAUGCAAGUCGAACGAUCUCGCAAGAGAUAGUGGCAGAAGGGUUAGUAGCACGUGGACAAUCUACCCUCGACUCGGGGAUAACUUCGCGAAAGCGAGGCUAAUACCCGAUAACAUUACGAUCCGGCAUCGGGUUGUAAUCAAAGGUGGCGCAAGCUGCCGAUUGUGGAGGAGUCCGCGGCCUAUCAGCUAGUUGGUGAGGUAACGGCUCACCAAGGCUUUUGACGGGUAGCUGGUCUAAGAGGACGAUCAGCAACAUUGGGACUGAGAUACUGCCCAGACUCCUACGGGAGGCUGCAGUCGAGGAUCUUUAGCAAUGCCCGAAAGGGUGACUAUGCGACGCCGCGUGCAGGAUGAAGGCCUUCGGGUUGUAAACUGCUGUCAAGGAGGAAGAAACCCAGCUAUUUAAAAGAUGGUUGGCUGACAUCACUCCUAAAGGAAGCCACGGCUAACUCUGUGCCAGCAGCCGCGGUAAGACAGAGGUGGCAAGCGUUGUUCGGAUUUAUUGGGUGUAAAGGGUCCGUAGGUGGUCGGGUAAGUCUGACGUGAAAUCCCAUGGCUCAACCGUGGAACUGCGUUGGAAACUGCCUGACUUGAGUACCGCAGAGGUAAAGGGAAUUCUCGGUGUAAGGGUGAAAUCUGUAGAUAUCGAGAGGAACACCAGUGGCGAAAGCGCUUUACUGGGCGGUUACUGACACUGAGGGACGAAAGCAAGGGGAGCAAACAGGAUUAGAUACCCUGGUAGUCCUUGCCGUAAACGAUGUGGAUUAGGUAUCGGGGGUGUCGAUCCCUCCGGCGCCGCAGCUAACGCAUUAAAUCCACCACCUGGGGAGUACGGUCGCAAGACUGAAACUCAAAGAAAUUGACGGGGACCCGCACAAGCGGUGGAGCAUGUGGUUUAAUUCGAGGCUACGCGAAGAACCUUACCCAGGCUUGACAUGGAUAAGACAGCCGAUGAAAGUCGGUCUCUCCGCAAGGAGCUUUUCCACAGGUGCUGCAUGGCUGUCGUCAGCUCGUGCUGUGAAGUGUUGGGUUAAGUCCCGCAACGAGCGCAACCCACGUUUUUAGUUGCCAGCAUUUAGUUGGGCACUCUAGAGGGACUGCCGGUGACAAACCGGAGGAAGGUGUGGAUGACGUCAAGUCAGCAUGCCUCUUACGUCCUGGGCUACACACGUACUACAUGCUACGGACAGAGGGCAGCGAACUCGCGAGGGUCAGCAAAUCCCGAAAACCGUGGCUCAGUUCAGAUUGCAGGCUGCAACUCGCCUGCAUGAAGGCGGAAUCGCUAGUAAUCGCCGGUCAGCAUACGGCGGUGAAUACGUUCCCGGGCCUUGUACACACCGCCCGUCACACCAUGGGAGUUGGCCACGCCCGAAGUCGUUACUCCAACCUUUUCGGAGGAGGAGGAUGCCGAAGGCAGGGCUGAUGACUGGGGUG